ensembl:snRNA U6 U6 spliceosomal RNA
GUUUUCACUUUUGCAGCACAUAUACUAAAAUUGAAAUGAUGCAGAGAAGAUUAGCAUGGCCCUUCACAAGGAUGACAUACAUAUUCGUGAAGCAUUCCAUAAUUUU